UGUUUUGUCUGGGCAGGAUCCUUCACAUUCUCCUAGAAUUUUGCUUUAGGUAGGGAUACUUUGGUGACAAUUCUAAUGGAAGUAUAUGAUGUCACAAAGGAAAUGAUAUGCCCCAGUCAGAUGUUGUAAAAAAAUGGCAUGAUUUGAGGGAUGCAGCUGUGUUGGGGAAUUAACGCCUGAUCAGGAACAAACCACACUAAUGGGUGCUGCUGUCUAAGAAUGAUUCAUCUUUUUAGUGGUCCCUAGAGAAAAGCUGAGAGGAGCACUCAUAUGCAGGCCUACCAGAAGACUAAUACCUCACAGGAGUAGCAAGGACUUACGAACAGGUUAUCGGAUCAAUGGCUUGCAAGUACAGUUUCUUCUCUAACUUCGUGAUCGAAAAGGAUCUUCUUAAAUCAAGCUCCAUUCCACCUUAGCUCAGGCAAGCAAACUGAUGAGAGCAUUCAGUUCCUCGGAAGCCAUGCAUUGCAAUCUUACCUCCCACUGAGACUCUGAAACAAUAUAUAGUAUGCUACAAGUGUGACCUUGUCAGACCUCAUCAAGCUCUGGAAGUAAAGAUUACCCAUUUUCAAACCCAA